AAAAAAUAAACAUUCCACUAAAAAUCUAAAAUCCGGCAUUACAGGAAAAAUGAGUAGCUCUUGCCUUUGUAAGAAAAAAUUAGAACGAGGAAAAGGUAGUUUUUUCGGCAUACCAAAGGAGGAGAAGACAAAAUAUGUGAGGCCCACUUUAAUGCGGAGCAUUUUAUAAAAGCGGGUAAAAAUAAAAUAUUAAUGCCAAUUGCUGAACCUGUCAUUGAUUAUACAUUUCCUCGCAAACCAGUGUAAGUUAUUUUAAAGUGAAUUUCUUAAUGGACUUAGUGAAUAGGUUCGCCAUUUAUUACAACGGUUAAAUUACACUAUGCAACACUCUCUUUGGGGUGGUAUAGGGUAUAAAAACUUUAAAAUAAAUAACUUUAAGUUAUCAUGAGAAUUUUUGUGUCUCUGCUAGUUAAAUUCGAAUUUAACUUCACACUUUGAUAUGUUUUUUAAAGAGUUAUUUGUGAUAUUAUUUACCUAUAGAACGGCAUCACUCGAACAUGAAAGAUGUUCUCAAGUUUCGAACAUCAUUUCCAAUGAACACUUUCUAAAUGUGAUUAGAACAUCCCCAAGUUUCAGAGGUAUGCACAACUGUUGACUCCGUUUUUUUGUAAAGAACUUCAACUCCCUAUUAACAAUAUUGAUACCUCUAUGAUUGACCUAUCUGUACCCAAAUCUUCCGCUAUAAAAGAACCUUCUAUAAUUGUAGAAUACUUAAAUGAACGCGAAACACAAACAGUAAGGGGAAUACACAUUUUUAAAGUAUUGAACUUUAUAUUUUAAAUUCCAACUACUUUUAUGCAUAUAGCCUAGUACAUUUUGCAGAUAGUAAGAACAAAUAUUUGGAAAGAAUUUGCGAGCUAGAAAAUGGAAACAAAGAACUAAAAUUGAAACUAGAUCAAACUAAUUUAGCUAUUGAAGCUAUGAGAAAAAUUUUUACAGAGGGUCAGAUAAGAAAAUUGAAACAACCAGGAGGAGUCCAGUGUCAGUGGACUGAUAUUUCUAGUGCAAUUUGUUUGCAUUCAUCUGGGCCACGAGCCUAUAACCACCUUUAUAAGAAAGGUCAUCCUCUUCCUAAUGUUUCUACAUUACAACGGUGGUGUCGAAAAAUAAACCUAACUGAAGGCAUUUUAUCCACAUCAAUCGAUUUUAUGCGGCAAGCUACCGAUAUGUCCCUUGAGGAUAGGAUUUGUGUAAUUGCAUUCGACGAAAUGAAGUUGCAGAAACCUUCGAAUAUGACACAUUAGGUGAUGUUGUCCGAAAACCGGCAAAUUACAUUCAGGUGGUUAUGGUUCGUGGCUUAAAAAAGUCGUGGAAGCAACCAGUUUUCAACGACUGUGAUUGCAAAAUGACUGUCGAAAUUCUAAAUAGCGUUAUUUGUGCCCUAAGUGACGCUGGUUUUCUUCUAGUAGCGAUGGUUUGUGAUAUGGGCCCUUGUAAUAGAAAACUGUUAAACGAUUUAGGUGUAUCUAAAGGUAAGCAUAACUUUGUAAUCAAAACUGAACAUACUCCAGACUCCACCUUCACAUUACAACCAUUCUUGAAAAUUCACACAAUACAUAAAGGAAUUUCAAUUUUAAAAUUCUGAUUUCCUUUAAUACACACCUUAAUUAAUAUUCUACAUAACUUACACAACAACUUAUUGUUAGUUUUAGAUACUAAUAUAAUAUCUUUAAUUUCAAAUCGUAACUUAAGAAAAACCAUGGUUUCCUAGUCCAGUUAAAUCCGAUUAGAAAAUAUUUACUUUUUAUGAUGCACCACAUCUUUUGAAACUAAUUAGGAACCGUUAUUUGGAUACCGGAAUAAUUUACAAGGGACAACACAUAAUAAUAAUAAUAAUAAUACUUUUGGAUACCCUGGGAAGGUUAUUUAACAAUUUUUAUUAACUGCCUUAUAACAAUUUAUCAAAGGUUUGUAUAACAUAUUUUGUAUGAAAAAUUGUCUUAUAAACUUCUGAUAAAUUGUUAUGAAUAACAUAUUCUAAUCCCUUAAGGAACCAUAUGGAAAAGAUCUUCAAAAUCAACAAAAUAAGUUGGCUCUGAUGAAUGAGUUGAUGUCAAUUCCACUUAUCCCUGGAAAGAAAUCAUUGGAGUUUUUCCAGAAGGGAAUUUUAAUAACAAAUAAAGCCCUAGAUAUGCUUUAUGAAUACUGCGCAACAAAGUUUGGCAUGUCAUACCUGUUAACAAGUCGCUUUAACCAAGAUGUUUCAGAAAAAAAAUUUGGAGCCAUAAGAAGUAAAGGUGGCCUUUAUGACCAUCCUUUCCCAAAAGAAUUCAAAUACAGGCUACGAAAAUACAUCUUGGAUAUAUGUAAAAUAAUUUUCUAUGUAAUAUUUGUAAAAAUAUUAAUUUUAAUUCAGCAAGAAACACAGAAUGCCUAAAAAACACUAGGAACGUGCAAAAUGACGAUACGAAUGGUUUACUUUUGAAAAUGCAACAAUUAAUACUGUGUGCGAAGAAAACGUUCUUGAUCCCGGCCAAGAAUUGGAAUUAGAAGAAAGCGAUUUGCAUGACCUAGAUGUGAAGACUUUUCAUGACAUUGGUGCCCUUCAAGAGGAUGCUUUAGAAUAUAUAUCUGGCUAUAUUAUUAGAAAGCUUAAUCUUGAAGGGUACGAAUGUAAUGAAAAUUCUUUCACAUGAGUCGACCAGGUGUCAAGGGGUUCCCUAAAAAAACCAGCUUACUAGUUUGUGGAAAACAUAAAAAAUUGGAAUAUGUAUUCCAUAAAAUAAAUAAAUCCCAAAUAGCACACUGUCGGAAUCUCCAUAAGCUCAUGGUCAGGGAAAGCCAGUCGAUUGAUCUGCCGAUAAUAUAAAAUCUUUUUUUUUUUUUUCAAAUGCCGGAUAUAUUUUCGUAUAAAACAUUUAAAUAAACGCCUCAAGCUUCAAAAACAAAAAUUAAUUGGCAGUAAUAAACCACUUAAAAUCAACUUGUAAACGUUCACCUCCAAUACCAAGACAUAACAUUCUCUCAGCUUGUAAACCAAAACCAAACAUUAAUCAAGAGUGUCAGUGUUAAGGACUCUAGUCAAGAAUCUGAACAGGCAAAUGUGACUGGUUGAUGUGAAUCAUGAAGUUGGUUGGCUGGAAGUUUAUAUUUGGUGACUCGUAAAUCCUUUUCUUUGAUGUUUUCUGUAUACCAAUAUCCUAAUAUAUUUUCUAUAUACUAUGAAUUUAAUCAUAAGUGAAAUAUAUUUAUAUUUUCCCAAGACAUCGAAUUUGUAAAAUUUUAAAAUUGAUUUUCAUUACGAAAAUUAAAUAAAAUUUGUUGUACAAUAGAUUGUGUUCGGAACUGUAUUUUCUUUGCCUUUGGUUUUACUGUCAACAAAAAAAAAACUUGACUCUAUUUACAAAACAAAACUACAUAUGAGAGUACAAAUUAAGUUUCAUCUUCAUGAAUUCCAUAAAGUCGCUAAUAAAGUCUGGACGUGUUAGUCUACUGCUUUAUGACUUACUUUAUUGGAAUCAUUUCGAAUCGAUACUUAACUGCUCAUAAAAUAAACACCGCAACCAGGCAUGGCUGUUACACAUUCCGAGACUUGUGUUAAUGAUAUAAUCCUUUGAGUAUUGAUAUGUAUGGCAUUUUUAAAGAAUGCUCAUACGUUAGGCACCAUAAAUGUGAGGAACUUUUGAGUAAGUGGUAUCGGCACGCUGGUGGUCGCACGGCAUUAGCUCGUAUGCCGUUCGUAUGGUAUGACAAUAUUGCAGCCAUCCUUGGUUCUAUUGAACUCGUAUUUGCUAUGACUAAAACCCCUAAACAAAACUUACCAGAAACCACAAUUCACACCAUUACCUUGUCUAAUUUAUCUUUCCAUGAUUGACAACAAUUGU